GGGGGGCCCCAAACCGGCCUCCUCGNGCCCGCCGAAGGCCCCAUCAAACCCUGUUAUUAGUGUCGUCCGAGCAAACAAACACAAUUGUUAAAACUUUCAACAACGGAUCUCUUGGUUCCGGCAUCGAUGAANAACGCAGCGAAAUGCGAAAAGUAAUGUGAAUUGCANAAUUCCGUGAAUCAUCGAAUCUUUGAACGCACAUUGCGCCCUUUGGUAUUCCGAAGGGCAUGCCUGUUCGAGCGUCAUUGCACCCUUCAAGCACUGCUUGGUAUUGGGCGUCNCCCCCGUGGCGCGCCUGAAUUUCAGUGGCGGUCCGGCGAGACUUCAAGCGUAGCAAGAUCUUCGCAUCCCGCUUUGGAAGCCCUCUCGCCGCGCGCCGGCCAGACAACCCCCCAGCAUAUCAAUGAUUGACCUCGGAUCAGGUAGGGAUACCCGCUGAACUUAAGCAUAUC
rnacentral:rRNA from 1 species